GUCUAUGGCCAUACCACCCUGAACCCGCCUUAUGUCAUCCGAUCUCGGAAGCUAACCAGGCUUGCGGCUGGUUAGCACUUGGGUGGGAAACACUAUUGCCCAUGUGAAAGACAAAGAAAGAGAAU
rnacentral:rRNA from 1 species